rnacentral:rRNA from 1 species
AAGGUUUCCGUAGGUGAACCUGCGGAAGGAUCAUUAUUGAAUUCAACGCGAAGUUGUGCUGGCUUUCAGGAGCAUGUGCACGCUUUGCAUAUAUUCAACCACCUGUGAACUUACUGUAGAUCUUGAGGAAACGCUCAAGGAAACUUGGAUGGUAGAGCUUGCUGGCUUCGAUAAGAGGUCGACUGCUCUUGUUCCUCAGGUCUACCUUUCUAUAUACCCCAUAAUUGUUAUAGAAUGUCAUAACGGCUCUUUAAUGAGCAUUAAACCUAUACAACUUUCAACAACGGAUCUCUUGGCUCUCGCAUCGAUGAAGAACGCAGCGAAAUGCGAUAAGUAAUGUGAAUUGCAGAAUUCAGUGAAUCAUCGAAUCUUUGAACGCACCUUGCACCCUUUGGUAUUCCGAAGGGUAUGCCUGUUUGAGUGUCAUUAAAUUCUCAACCUUACCAGCUUGCUGGUUUAAAAGGCUUGGAUUUGGAGGCUUAUAUGCGGGCUUCUCUUGAAGUCGGCUCCUCUUAAAUGCAUUAGCGGAACCUUUGUGUACCAGCUUUUGGUGUGAUAACUAUCUACGCCUUUCAGCUAUCACUGUUGUGGCUCAGCUUCUAACCGUCCGCAAGGACAGCAUAUAUUUGACAUUUGACCUCAAAUCAGGUAGGACUACCC